AAUUUUUCCACACUACAAUAAUUUUUAUACUACAGCACAGAACUCUAAGGUGCUAUAACUAAAGAAUUACAAAUCUGUUUAUCAUGAACUAAUAAUUAGAAAAGCAUUUACGACAAUCACAGGUUGUUGUUAGAUAUUUUAAAAAAAUAAAGGUCACGAAUUCUGUUGUAUUACAGAUUCGUUAAAGGUUCGAAUGCGCUACCUUGCUCGGAUUAGCGCUUGUACUUAAUUGUUAAGAUUGCGAUUUAGUUUAUUGUUCUAAGUGUUAUGGUUGUUAGUAUAGACCAACAAGACAUUCUUUAAAGCUGGCUACAAUACUAGUGGGCCGACACUAAGUCAAUUGUCGAUCUGUGAAUCAUGACUGGGAAGCAGUGAACAAUUAAGAAAUAUAAUAGAUAAAGACUGAUCUACGGAGUCAAUUCUUGAUAAUAUUCAUCCUUUUCUCAAUACCACGCUAACCUUUAUGGCAACCUAGAUACUCUUGAAAUAUUGAACUACAGUGACCUACCAUUUAUAAAUUGUUAUAUUGCAAAUUGCCGAUCUAUACCGAGAAUAUCAAAGUAGUGCUGUAUAUUCAAUAUACCGAGCACUCGUUCGAGUUUCUACCAUUGUAACAUAUGACUUUUUAUCAGAUCAACAUGAUAUAUGUCAGCAAUGAUCAUUUACAACUCACAGCAUACCCCAUCGAUACAUUUUAUAAUGCCUUUCUUUCCAUAAAGUAACGUUUCGAUUGGAGGGCUUCCAGAGAGUGAGGCUCAGACAGUAAUGGAGGCUUGUGUAUUUAAAAUCAUACCAAUGCCAUUUGUUUUCCCUCCAUACUUCGUGAUUCUAAAUGAUCUGGUUAUUUAAUGAGUAAUUCCGCAAGUUUUCUUUCUAAUAAGGUUGAGAUACUGUGCGCAGAGGAGCUUGAUUAUUCUUUAGUGCACUUAUUUUAAAAGUACCCGUUUUAAGGUCAAUGAAUUUUGUUUUGUCUAAAAAUGUUUUCUUAGGCGCGAAGUAUAGUUUAAAGUUUAGGAUUCACGUAUUUCUCUAAUAAUGAAAUUCGCCAUGUAUUUAUUUAUUUCUGCACCUGUAUGCGAUUCGUAGGUUUGUCUGCCUACGGGAUUUUUCAGCUAGCACAAUAGACUCUUACUUCUCAUCUCUUGCGUGCUAUUUUUGUAAUUUCCCACCCUUCCUGAAUUUUGCUUAGUCCCAACUUAGGAGUUGUUGGAAAAUCUCCUUACCCGAUAAAAUGUGUUCCUAACCUGUCCCCUUUUACUAGCUGCGGCAAAACUGGCGCUAGUUCCGCUUCUCAAAUCUAUCUCAAUAUCGUCCGCCUUCGAAUUUGCGUUGGGACGAUAAACUUGUCUCAAAAAAAUCGAUCCACAAUUUUUUUUAUCUUCUUUUUUCACCGACGAGGCUCGUUUGGUCCACGCUAAAAUAUUGGUUUCCAUAUAUAUACAUACCUGACAUCCUGACAAACUAACAUUCGCUAAAUUCGUCGAAUUAUCAACGGGUGCAGAAUAUCUUUUACCACAUAUUUAGCAGCUCCUUAUCUUUAAGACUUCUUAUUCGGGGUAACGUGACUUUGACUUCAUUGUCUCACAAAAUUGCUACGACCAACCAACUACAAAUAUCACUCGUUCAAUUUUAAACUUGAACUUGUCGAAAGC
rnacentral:lncRNA from 1 species